GUCCAACAGCGCUCUGCCGUCCCUGCUGAAGACUGCUGAGGCGCUGAGCAUCAAGGGUCUGACCCCGUCACACUUGCGAGAAGAGCGGCCGCCGCCCGCCGACGCCGUGGCCGACUGGGGUGACCCGUUCUCGCUGCCGGCGCCGGUACGGCAACGUCCGCCGCCGGAUGACGAGUCGCCAACGAAGCGCGCCAAGGCGGCCGACGGGGCGCGCGCUGGGGGCGGGAGCUCGCCGGCGGAGCUGCCGCCUACCACGCCGCUCAACCUGUCGUGCUCGCCGCUGGCGGCGCCGGCGGUGGCCGGCCGCUUCACGCUGAAGAUCCCCAGCGUGCCGGGCGCGCCGGCGCCGCCCGACGACAACGGCACCGACGUCUCGCCGCGCCUCGAGUCCGAUGACGGCUCCUGGCUGGAGUGGGAGCAGAAGGAGAGCCGC